rnacentral:rRNA from 1 species
UACAGAGGGUGCGAGCGUUAAUCGGAAUUACUGGGCGUAAAGCGCGCGUAGGCGGCUUUGCAAGUCGGGUGUGAAAUCCCCAAGGCUUAACCUGGGAACUGCAUUCGAGACUGCAUUGCUAGAGUAUGGGAGAGGGAAGUGGAAUUUCCGGUGUAGCGGUGAAAUGCGUAGAUAUCGGAAGGAACAUCAGUGGCGAAAGCGACUUCCUGGACCAAUACUGACGCUGAGGAGCGAAAGCGUGGGGAGCGAACAGG